rnacentral:lncRNA from 12 species
AGUUCUUGCUUCUAUUUGUGUGACAGAGGUUCCUAGCAGAACACUUGAAAAGGUAAGCUAAUCAAAAUGAAGACACUGUUAGUUCUCCUCUUCAAGUCAGCCUUCUUAAAGAUGAUUCACAAUUACAAGACUCAACCAUUGUCAACAAUUUUAUUUGUUUUAGAUUGAAAAAACCUGGUCAGCUUAAUUAAUCCUAUCUUUAAAAAGGAAAGGGGAAAAAAAACCACUUUAUCUUAAUACCAAACCAUUUUGAAAGUCAUCCAGGAUUUUGAGAAAGCCUACUAGUUUCUAUUUUAUGCAGGGCCAGGCUUGGACUAUUAUGAAUGUUGCUGAACACUGUUAAUCAAGCUUACACAGCUAUUUUGAUGGCAAACAAUUAGAACUCUGCAGCUCUACCUUGCAAUUAGCUUCAGGGAUAUGGACCUCAGCACCAUAAUAAUGAAAGAGACCUCCUUCAAGCACGUUGACACACAAGCUUGUCUUCAUCCAUCCUCCAUGCUAGAAGACAUUAAAGAACACUGCUGGUUAAGUGACCUGCAACCCCUUAUUGGAAUCUCUGGGACAGAGGACUUGCUGCCUCUUGAGGAAAUAAACCUAUAGAGAAAAAAAGACAUGUUUUAUGAGUAAGGGUCUCACUAUUUUGUGAAAGAACUAAAAAAGAAAGUGGAUAUUUGUAUCACAUGGAAAAAAAAGAAAGUGUACUAAAUUCCUAACAAUCACCUUCUUGUCAAAAGAUGUAAGAAAAAUUAAAAUGUAAACAUCUGUACUUUCAAAAUUAAAGCAACUCAAACUUGAACAAGGAUACAUUUUUUACUUAAACCAUAGGGGUAAUUUUAUUUAUUUAUUUAUUUAUUUAUUUAUUUAUUUAUUUAUUUAGAUUUAUUUAUUUGAGAGAGAGAGAGCAUGGGAUGGGGAGGGGUAAGGGG